CAGCAGGCGCGAAAACUUUACAAUGCUGGAAACAGCGAUAAGGGGACCUCGAGUGCCAGGUUACAAAUCUGGCUGUCGUGAUGCCUAAAAAGCAUUGCAUAGCAAGGGCCGGGCAAGACCGGUGCCAGCCGCCGCGGUAACACCGGCGGCUCGAGUGGUAACCGUUAUUAUUGGGUCUAAAGGGUCUGUAGCCGGCCGGAUAAGUCUCUUGGGAAAUCCAGCAGCUCAACUGUUGGGCUUUCAGGAGAUACUGUCUGGCUCGAGGCCGGGAGAGGUGAGAGGUACUUCAGGGGUAGGGGUGAAAUCUUGUAAUCCUUGAAGGACCACCAGUGGCGAAGGCGUCUCACCAGAACGGACCUGACGGCAAGGGACGAAAGCUAGGGGCACGAACCGGAUUAGAUACCCGGGUAGUCCUAGCCGUAAACGAUACUCGCUAGGUGUCGGCCACGGUGCGACCGUUGUCGGUGCCGUAGGGAAGCCGUGAAGCGAGCCACCUGGGAAGUACGGCCGCAAGGCUGAAACUUAAAGGAAUUGGCGGGGGAGCACAAGGGCGAAUCGC
rnacentral:rRNA from 1 species